UACAUUAGACUACCCCGGUAGUCCCAGCCGUAAACUAUGCUCGCUAGGUGUCAGGCAUGGCGCGACCGUGUCUGGUGCCGCAGGGAAGCCGUGAAGCGAGCCACCUGGGAAGUACGGCCGCAAGGCUGAAACUUAAAGGAAUUGGCGGGGAGCACCACAACAGGUGGAGCCUGCGGUUUAAUUGGACUCAACGCCGGAAAUCUCACCGGAUAAGACAGCAGAAUGAUUGCCGGGCUGAAGACUCUGCAUGACUAGCUG
rnacentral:rRNA from 1 species